GACGAACCGCGCGAACGUUGUUCGGAAUCACUGGGCUUAAAGGGCGCGUAGGCGGGUGCUCAAGUCUGUGGUGAAAUCCUCCGGCUCAACCGGAGAACUGCCAUGGAUACUGGGUGCCUCGAGGGUGGUAGGGGUAUGCGGAACUAUCGGUGGAGCGGUGAAAUGCGUUGAUAUCGAUAGGAACUCCGGUGGCGAAGGCGGCAUACUGGACCACUUCUGACGCUGAGGCGCGAAAGCCAGGGGAGCGAACGGG
rnacentral:rRNA from 1 species